AUGGGUUAUUUAAAUUCUACAUACAUUUUAAAACACGAAGUCCAUUGAGCUAAAUAAUUUAAUAAUAUUAGAUACUAUAUUAAUUAGUGUAACAAUACUAAAAAUUAGAAAAAUAUUUAGGGGUGACAGGCCUUUCAAAAUUGACGAUAUCUUGAUGGUAGAGAAAAAUAUAUAGUAUACUUACAAACUAAAAAUGUUAAGGUUUUUAGUAAGCAUAAUUUUUUUUUGGUGUAUAGUUGAAUACUUAAUAGUUACAACUUUGUAUACUUUAAUAUUUAUUAAAAUAAUAUAUGUUAAAUACUUACCAGUUAAUACUAAUUAUAUUUUAAAUUUAUUAUGAUAGUAUUAGUAUUAUACUAAAUUUGAUUAAUGAACUCGGCAAUAAUACUCCUCGACUGUUUACCAAAAACAUUGCCCUAAGUUAUUAUUUAAGGUUAAACCUGCUCAAUGAAUUAAUUAAAUAGCCGCAGUACAUUGACUGUGCAAAGGUAGCAUAAUCAAUUGGCUUAUAAUUGAAGUCUAGUAUGAAUGGGAAUCCGGGGAAUAGCUCUAUCAAAUAAAAUUAUAUAACUUACUUAAUGAGUGAAAAGUCUUAUAGAAAGAGGAAAGACGAGAAGACCCUAGAAAUUUUGUAUAUAAUUUCUAUAUAUUUAUUUUGUUGGGGCGACAUAGUAACAAUUAACCUACUAUAUAUAUAAGCUGCUAAUAAGUUGAGAGAAUAAAUUACUCUAGGGAUAACAGCAUUAUUCAAAAUGAGUUUGUGACCUCGAUGUUGGACUAGGAAAUAAUUUCUUUAAAAGAUAAAUUAUAUAGGCUCUGUUCGAGCUCUUUAUCCUACAUGAUCUG
rnacentral:rRNA from 1 species